UUUAUCGGUUUAUUUCUUUGAUAGUUUACGUUUUUUUGUGCCAACCUAAGAAAUCUUUGCCUAACCUUCUUUGACAAGGACAAUAAUUCUUUACGAAACCUAGAGAAAAUUUCUCCAUGGCUUUAAAACUUUCCUGAAACUUACUUCUGUGCAAAAGUUUUCAAGAUUAUAAGUUUCCUGAGAAUAAGGAUUGUGCUUUAUUCACCUUCAUUUCUCCAGUGCCCAGCAUAGAACCCUCACACAGGUACUGAGGAUAUGAAGUGAGUACAUACACUGAAAUACCACUGAAGACUGAGGCCUUCUGCAGUUCCUGAAAACCUUUCCAGAGCCAAUCCUGAAGCAAAUUCGAAGGCUCAGUCAUCUCCACAUCUGGAAUGGUUAACCUCACAUAGGAUCCCUGGAUGACUAUUAAAAACUUUGAGUUGGUUGCUGUAUAUAUUUUCUAGAACUUUCCAUUCCUGGUUACACACUCUCCACCUGUCAGCUGGUGCUGACUAUAGAAGUGACUUAUG